ACGGGAGGCAGCAGUGGGGGAUAUUGCACAAUGGAGGAAACUCUGAUGCAGCAACGCCGCGUGAGGGAAGAAGGUUUUCGGAUUGUAAACCUCUGUUUUUAGUGAAGAAACAAAUGACGGUAGCUAAAGAGGAAGCCACGGCUAACUACGUGCCAGCAGCCGCGGUAAUACGUAGGUGGCAAGCGUUAUCCGGAUUUACUGGGUGUAAAGGGCGCGUAGGCGGGGAUGCAAGUCAGAUGUGAAAUCUAUGGGCUUAACUCAUAAACUGCAUUUGAAACUGUAUCUCUUGAGUGCUGGAGAGGUAGAUGGAAUUCCUUGUGUAGCGGUGAAAUGCGUAGAUAUAAGGAAGAACACCAGUGGCGAAGGCGAUCUACUGGACAGUAACUGACGCUGAGGCGCGAAAGCGUGGGGAGCAAACAGGAUUAGAUACCCUGGUA
rnacentral:rRNA from 1 species